rnacentral:rRNA from 1 species
UUGACUGUACAAAGGUAGCAUAAUCAUUAGUCUUUUAAUAGAGGGCUGGAAUGAAAGGUUUAACGAGGAACUGACUGUCUCAUUUUAUUUGUUUUAAAAUUUAAUUUUUUAGUUAAAAAGCUAAAAUUUUAUUGGUAGACGAGAAGACCCUAUAGAGCUUUACAUUUAAUUAAUUAAAUAUUUUUAUAUUAAUAUUUUUAUUUGAUUUUAUGUUUUGUUGGGGUGACAAAAAUAUAUAUAUAACUUUUUUAUAUUAUUUACAUUGAUUUAUGAAUAUUAGAUCCAUUAUUAUUGAUUAUUAGAUUAAGUUACCUUAGGGAUAACAGCGUAAUAU